UAGAAUCAUUAAGGUUGGAAAAGACGUUCAAGAUCAUCUGGUCCAACCAUCGCCCUACUGCCAAUGUCACCCAAUAAACCAUGUCCCUAAGCACCAGGUCCAACCUUUCCUUAAACACCCCCAGGGAUGGUGACACCACCACUUCCCUUGGCAACCCAUUCCAAUUGCUAACCACUCUUUGUGAG